AUGGCCAUUUUUAAGAACCCGUUCAGGAGGGGUGACAACCUCCUUGUUAUGUGCGACUGCUACACACCACAAGGUGUUCCAAUCCCCACCAACAAGAGGCACAAUGCUGCCAAGAUCUUCAACACCUCGAAGGUUGCAGCUGAGGAGAGAUGGUACGAAUACCUCCGUCGAUAUUUCAAGUUUUUUGUUGUUGCUGUGUUUCAUAUAAAAGUUGUAGUAGCGCUCUUGUGUCUUAACACACAUACACACGUGAGAACAUAA
rnacentral:rRNA from 1 species